rnacentral:RNase_P_RNA from 1 species
ACGAUGAACCAGACCGCCGCCCGGCGCUUGUUUUUAUGAGUGGCCGGGAGGAAAGUCCGGGCUCCGCAGGGCAUGAUGCCGGGUAACGCCCGGGCGGAAGGCCGCAAGGCUUUUCGACAGACAGCGCAACAGAAAAUAUACCGCCUGACCGCAUAAUCUUUGAUUAUGUGGUCAGGUAAGGGUGAAAUGGCAGGUUAAGAGCCUCCCGCGGCGGCGGCGACGCCGCCGGCAUGGCAAGCCUCAUCAGGAGCAAAGUCAAGCAGCGGCGUGUACGGCUUGCCGUACACGAUGCAGCUGGCAAAGCCAGCCGCGCCGGCGGCCCGCCGGUUAAACGCGGGUAGACUGCAUUGAAGAAGCCGGCAACGGCCUAUCAAGACAGAUGGCGGUACGCCAGCCGUAAAAAGCUGGUGACAGAACCCGGCUUAUGGUUCAUCGUUUUU